CCGGCGUCGAGCGCGAGGUUGCCCUUCGGCCGCUCCGGCCGGGCGAGCUGGUCGACCAGUUCGUCGGCGCGGCGCAGGACCGCGUCGCCGGCC
rnacentral:tRNA from 1 species